CAAAUUAAUUAUUGAAUGAGUCUAGGUUAAGCUACUAGCAGGAUACAACAAGUGUAUCGUGCCAAGCCAGAGCCAAGACUGCCUUAGCCGAGGCGACACCGUUCGUUUUAUACACGUCAGAACAAUUCGAGUAAUAUAAUAAAUGAGGGUAGGUGACUAUCGAACGAUGUACUAGGUGGCGCGUCGAUCACCCCACUACUCUAACGGCUAAUAAUUGACAACUGACAUAAUCUGAAUACACCCAAGUCAAACACUUGACGUUCCGUAUUCAUACUCUGCGACAUAUAUAU
rnacentral:misc_RNA from 1 species